rnacentral:rRNA from 1 species
UUAAGCGACUAAGCGUACACGGUGGAUGCCCUGGCAGUCAGAGGCGAUGAAGGACGUGCUAAUCUGCGAUAAGCGUCGGUAAGGUGAUAUGAACCGUUAUAACCGGCGAUUUCCGAAUGGGGAAACCCAGUGUGUUUCGACACACUAUCAUUAACUGAAUCCAUAGGUUAAUGAGGCGAACCGGGGGAACUGAAACAUCUAAGUACCCCGAGGAAAAGAAAUCAACCGAGAUUCCCCCAGUAGCGGCGAGCGAACGGGGAGCAGCCCAGAGCCUGAAUCAGUGUGUGUGUUAGUGGAAGCGUCUGGAAAGGCGCGCGAUACAGGGUGACAGCCCCGUACACAAAAAUGCACAUGCUGUGAGCUCGAUGAGUAGGGCGGGACACGUGGUAUCCUGUCUGAAUAUGGGGGGACCAUCCUCCAAGGCUAAAUACUCCUGACUGACCGAUAGUGAACCAGUACCGUGAGGGAAAGGCGAAAAGAACCCCGGCGAGGGGAGUGAAAAAGAACCUGAAACCGUGUACGUACAAGCAGUGGGAGCACGCUUAGGCGUGUGACUGCGUACCUUUUGUAUAAUGGGUCAGCGACUUAUAUUCUGUAGCAAGGUUAACCGAAUAGGGGAGCCGAAGGGAAACCGAGUCUUAACUGGGCGUUAAGUUGCAGGGUAUAGACCCGAAACCCGGUGAUCUAGCCAUGGGCAGGUUGAAGGUUGGGUAACACUAACUGGAGGACCGAACCGACUAAUGUUGAAAAAUUAGCGGAUGACUUGUGGCUGGGGGUGAAAGGCCAAUCAAACCGGGAGAUAGCUGGUUCUCCCCGAAAGCUAUUUAGGUAGCGCCUCGUGAAUUCAUCUCCGGGGGUAGAGCACUGUUUCGGCAAGGGGGUCAUCCCGACUUACCAACCCGAUGCAAACUGCGAAUACCGGAGAAUGUUAUCACGGGAGACACACGGCGGGUGCUAACGUCCGUCGUGAAGAGGGAAACAACCCAGACCGCCAGCUAAGGUCCCAAAGUCAUGGUUAAGUGGGAAACGAUGUGGGAAGGCCCAGACAGCCAGGAUGUUGGCUUAGAAGCAGCCAUCAUUUAAAGAAAGCGUAAUAGCUCACUGGUCGAGUCGGCCUGCGCGGAAGAUGUAACGGGGCUAAACCAUGCACCGAAGCUGCGGCAGCGACGCUGAUGCGUUGUUGGGUAGGGGAGCGUUCUGUAAGCCUGUGAAGGUGUACUGUGAGGUAUGCUGGAGGUAUCAGAAGUGCGAAUGCUGACAUAAGUAACGAUAAAGCGGGUGAAAAGCCCGCUCGCCGGAAGACCAAGGGUUCCUGUCCAACGUUAAUCGGGGCAGGGUGAGUCGACCCCUAAGGCGAGGCCGAAAGGCGUAGUCGAUGGGAAACAGGUUAAUAUUCCUGUACUUGGUGUUACUGCGAAGGGGGGACGGAGAAGGCUAUGUUGGCCGGGCGACGGUUGUCCCGGUUUAAGCGUGUAGGCUGGUUUUCCAGGCAAAUCCGGAAAAUCAAGGCUGAGGCGUGAUGACGAGGCACUACGGUGCUGAAGCAACAAAUGCCCUGCUUCCAGGAAAAGCCUCUAAGCAUCAGGUAACAUCAAAUCGUACCCCAAACCGACACAGGUGGUCAGGUAGAGAAUACCAAGGCGCUUGAGAGAACUCGGGUGAAGGAACUAGGCAAAAUGGUGCCGUAACUUCGGGAGAAGGCACGCUGAUAUGUAGGUGAAGCGACUUGCGGAUGGAGCUGAAAUCAGUCGAAGAUACCAGCUGGCUGCAACUGUUUAUUAAAAACACAGCACUGUGCAAACACGAAAGUGGACGUAUACGGUGUGACGCCUGCCCGGUGCCGGAAGGUUAAUUGAUGGGGUUAGCCGCAAGGCGAAGCUCUUGAUCGAAGCCCCGGUAAACGGCGGCCGUAACUAUAACGGUCCUAAGGUAGCGAAAUUCCUUGUCGGGUAAGUUCCGACCUGCACGAAUGGCGUAAUGAUGGCCAGGCUGUCUCCACCCGAGACUCAGUGAAAUUGAACUCGCUGUGAAGAUGCAGUGUACCCGCGGCAAGACGGAAAGACCCCGUGAACCUUUACUAUAGCUUGACACUGAACAUUGAGCCUUGAUGUGUAGGAUAGGUGGGAGGCUUAGAAGUGUGGACGCCAGUCUGCAUGGAGCCGACCUUGAAAUACCACCCUUUAAUGUUUGAUGUUCUAACGUUGACCCGUAAUCCGGGUUGCGGACAGUGUCUGGUGGGUAGUUUGACUGGGGCGGUCUCCUCCUAAAGAGUAACGGAGGAGCACGAAGGUUGGCUAAUCCUGGUCGGACAUCAGGAGGUUAGUGCAAUGGCAUAAGCCAGCUUGACUGCGAGCGUGACGGCGCGAGCAGGUGCGAAAGCAGGUCAUAGUGAUCCGGUGGUUCUGAAUGGAAGGGCCAUCGCUCAACGGAUAAAAGGUACUCCGGGGAUAACAGGCUGAUACCGCCCAAGAGUUCAUAUCGACGGCGGUGUUUGGCACCUCGAUGUCGGCUCAUCACAUCCUGGGGCUGAAGUAGGUCCCAAGGGUAUGGCUGUUCGCCAUUUAAAGUGGUACGCGAGCUGGGUUUAGAACGUCGUGAGACAGUUCGGUCCCUAUCUGCCGUGGGCGCUGGAGAACUGAGGGGGGCUGCUCCUAGUACGAGAGGACCGGAGUGGACGCAUCACUGGUGUUCGGGUUGUCAUGCCAAUGGCACUGCCCGGUAGCUAAAUGCGGAAGAGAUAAGUGCUGAAAGCAUCUAAGCACGAAACUUGCCCCGAGAUGAGUUCUCCCUGACCCCUUGAGAGUCCUGAAGGAACGUUGAAGACGACGACGUUGAUAGGCCGGGUGUGUAAGCGCAGCGAUGCGUUGAGCUAACCGGUACUAAUGAACCGUGAGGCUUAACCUU